AGUGAACGCUGGCGGUAGGCCUAACACAUGCAAGUCGAACGGCAGCACAGUAAGAGCUUGCUCUUACGGGUGGCGAGUGGCGGACGGGUGAGGAAUACAUCGGAAUCUACUUUUUCGUGGGGGAUAACGUAGGGAAACUUACGCUAAUACCGCAUACGACCUACGGGUGAAAGCAGGGGAUCUUCGGACCUUGCGCGAUUGAAUGAGCCGAUGUCGGAUUAGCUAGUUGGCGGGGUAAAGGCCCACCAAGGCGACGAUCCGUAGCUGGUCUGAGAGGAUGAUCAGCCACACUGGAACUGAGACACGGUCCAGACCCCUACGGGAGGCAGGAGUGGGGAAUAUUGAACAAUGGGCGCAAGCCUGAUCCAGCCAUACCGCGUGGGUGAAGAAGGCCUUCGGGUUGUAAAGCCCUUUUGUUGGGAAAGAAAAGCAGCAGGUUAAUACCCCGCUGUUCUGACGGUACCCAAAGAAUAAGCACCGGCUAACUUCGU
rnacentral:rRNA from 1 species